UUCGUUUUGCAGUCUUGUUUUAGUAUUCAUUCUGUGAGCGGCAAAAAUUGCAGAAUAUUUCUUGUCACAAGGCAUACUUGUGUCUGCAUGUCAAAAUCUCACGUACUAAAAAUACAUUCCGCGUGGGGAAUCCCUCUCCAUCAGCGCCGUCUAGUGGGAUUCUCUUCUUCCGGUCUCUUCCGCCAUAUUCAGGCUUCAGGCAGAACCACCCACACUUGAUUAGG